rnacentral:rRNA from 1 species
GAACGUUAGCGGCGGGCCUAACACAUGCAAGUCGAGCGAGAAAGGGACUUCGGUCCUGAGUAAAGCGGCGGACGGGUGAGUAAUACGUAGGUAACCUGCCCUUCAGUGGGGGACAACAAUUCGAAAGGAUUGCUAAUACCGCAUCCGACGGCGAGCGCCUUGGUGCUUGUCGGGAAAGCCGGGUCGCAAGAUCUGGCGCUGGAGGAGGGGCCUGCGUCGCAUCAGCUAGUUGGUGAGGUAAUGGCUCACCAAGGCGAAGACGCGUAGCUGGUCUGAGAGGAUGAUCAGCCACACUGGGACUGAGACACGGCCCAGACUCCUACGGGAGGCAGCAGUGGGGAAUAUUGGACAAUGGACGAAAGUCUGAUCCAGCCACGCCGCGUGAGUGAUGAAGGCCUUCGGGUCGUAAAGCUCUGUGGGGAGGGACGAACCGCCGAUGGCUCAUACCCAUCGGCAUGACGGUACCUCCUUAGCAAGCACCGGCUAACUUCGUGCCAGCAGCCGCGGUAA